rnacentral:rRNA from 1 species
CUCAGGAUGAACGCUAGCUACAGGCUUAACCACAUGCAAGUCGAGGGGCAGCAUGGACAUAGCUUGCUAUGUUUGAUGGCGACCGGCGCACGGGUGCGUAACACGUAUCCAAUCUGCCCGUUAUCGGGGAUAGCCUUNUGAAAGGAAGAUUAAUACCCGAUGGCAUGUAUUUCCGGCAUCGGAGAUACAUUAAAGAUUUAUCGGUAACGGAUGAGGAUGCGUACGAUUAGCUUGUUGGCGGGGUAACGGCCCACCAAGGCGACGAUCGUUAGGGGUUCUGAGAGGAAGGUCCCCCACACUGGAACUGAGACACGGUCCAGACUCCUACGGGAGGCAGCAGUGAGGAAUAUUGGUCAAUGGUCGGAAGACUGAACCAGCCAAGUAGCGUGAAGGAUGACUGCCCUACGGGUUGUAAACUUCUUUUGUUUGGGAAUAAAAGACGCUACGUGUAGCGUUCUGCAUGUACCUUACGAAUAAGCAUCGGCUAAUUCCGUG